UACGUAGGCAGCAAGCGUUGUUCGGAAUUACUGGGCGUAAAGAGUGUGUAGGCGGUGCUCUAAGUUCGGUGUGAAAUCUCCCGGCUCAACCGGGAGGGUGCGCCGAAAACUGGGGGACUAGAGUGUGGGAUGGGAGAGUAGAAUUCCUGGUGUAGCGGUGAAAUGCGUAGAUAUCAGGAGGAAUACCGGUGGUGUAGACGGCUCUCUGGACCGCCACUGACGCUGAGACACGAAAGCGUGGGUGGCAAACAGG
rnacentral:rRNA from 1 species